UUAAUAUAAUAAUUUUAGUUUGUGCGUGUUAAUUUUACAUCAUGAACAUGAGUACUUCAGGCGUACUUCUUAUACAGUCAAAUUGAGGGAUCUAAGGAAAAAAAAGCUAACUAAGGCAAAUGGGACCUGGGCUUUUGUGUUAUCUCUCUCCACCUCCUCCUGUCCAUGGCAACUUUUUUCCAAUUGCGGAUUCCGAUUUCUUUUCUCUGCUACAAUUGUGUCUAUGCAUUUCCUUUUCGGCCUCCCUUCUCUUCUUUUUUUGCACUCCGCGUUCCUCUCCUAGCGUCCUUAUGUGGUACAGCCAGCGUAUUCUUUGGUUUUUAAUCACUCCUAAUAUGGAUUGCUGGUCAUACAUCCCCAUCACCUUUUCAUUUGUUCUCCUUCCCCAUAUUCUAUCUCCUACUUUCUUGCCAUUAAAUAUUCUUUCUAGCACGUUCCUUUCCCAUAUUUCCAGAUAUUUUGUUUUGAUAAGAGACUAUAUUUCACUCUUGCACCUUACUGUCGACCGCACUGUUUUAUAGAGUCUGAUCUUGGGAUUUCGCGAUACACUAUUUGAUUUGAAAAUUCGCAAUAAGGAUGUAAUGAUCUACCGUUUCUAAAAAAAAUAAUUUUCUUUUGACCUCCUACAGUAGGGUAGAAUUUGAAUCUGACAGUGUAACUUAAAUGGUUAAUCUGUGCCGGGAAGGAAUUAUUAGCAUUCCCUCUUUGAUAGCGGACACUUAAGGGAGGAGUGUGCAAAUAUUUUAGCGCUAGAUUAUUUAAGCAAUCGGUUAGACUUAUAGUCUAAGCGAAUUUCAAAAGUGAGUAUAAGUGAAGAAAUUCAGUGCUAAUAUUCUUCGCCGAAAAAUAGCAACACUGUAAUAAAGAAAACGUACUUAUGGACAUUUGAAGAAUCCAGCGUUUUGUUUCUCACGCCUAACACAUUUUAAACAGCUUGCGUUGUUUUACGGGACAGUUUUUCCUUUUGGAGAAUUACAUAUUGGAGUAUAUCAGAAUACAUUUCAAAAUCAGUAUUUAUCCAACUUUUGAUUAAAAAUGAUUGACGAUUAUUGAGAUAUCCGUGAAAGCGAAUUGAACUAAAUUCUUUCCUGUGUCAAACUAUGGUUACAUUUGCUAGCUGGAAGUAAAAGUACGAAAAGGUAAGCUUCAAUAAGAUACUUCAGCAACAUCACAAGUCGAAGAAAUCUCCAACCCUUUACAAGAUACCAAUAUAAAUUGACACCUCUCCACGGGUUUGAAUUAUCGAAGCAGCCUUUAAUUUGUAACCGUUCCGUGAUGUUAAGAAAGAAUGUGCGAAGAAAACAGGGGGGGGGGAGUUAUUAUUAAGAGGAAUUAAAGGAAAUGUGAAAAUAGGUGAAGAAAGAAGGCAUACAAAGAGGAAGUACGAACCAGCCGUAAAGAAACGAUAAUGUAAGAAAGUGGUCACGACGAAGGCAUGACGCACGGAUACGUGAAGAAAGAAAGAUAUGAUGAAACAAAAUGUGCAGAAAGAAGGCGAAAACAGUGGAAGAAAUUUGAGGAAAAGUGUGAUAAAAGCUAUUGAAGAGGAAAGUGGCGAAAAUGAAUUAAACGUGAUAUGGCGUAAUGACAGCGCGAAGAAGGUUCGACGAGAGGUUCGAACAGUCAAAAAAGAUGGAGGCCGGGAGUGCGAUGGAAAAAUGGGAGUGACGAGGUAUAUUCGAAAGCGAAAAUAAGCAGUAAAAGCUGAUGGAGCACUAUAAUGGAUGAAGAAAGUUGUAGGCGUAAUAGAAAACUGUGGGGGACGAUCUUAAAGGAGGCCUGAAAAAUGAACGAGCGUAAAGUCACAAAGCGACAGUCUGAUGGAACGAGGGGUAAAGAACAGAGGCGCAGCGAAGAGUAGGUCAGGGGGAGGAAGACACUUUAAAAAAUGAAGGAGGUGUAAAAGACGUAUGACGAGGAAAAUAAUGAAAAAAAGAGACUUGAAACAAGGGCCGAAUGAAGGAGUAAAAAAGAGCCUAAAUAGUUCCGAAGAAAGCAAGGGGAAUGCGCCAACGAAGUGUAACCGUAAGACUAAGAGAUUUAUGGAAAGCGUGAAACAAUUAAUAGAAAAGAGUUUAAAAGGAGAAGGGUGUGACGGUAGCCUUAAUUUUGAAUUAAAAUUUUUCCAGUUUUCCCGCAGAAAUAAGUAACGUAGAACUCCUGUUGACAAUGCCAAGGUUAUGCAGUGUCCUCCCAAACAAACUUUGGUCAUGAUAAUGUCAUGUAAGGAAUUUAUCUGAAUGAUGGCAUUAUUUUAACGAAAUGUGUCACAUCUGGCUAUUCAUGUUCAAUGAGCUAUUGUCCUUUAAAUACUUGGGACGUCAAGAUAGCGGUGAUCGGGGUCAAAUUACGUCCGUUUUAAUAAUAGUAUUCCAUUAGUUACCGCAUCAUGAGGUAAAGCCACCGUGGAAACUGCUUCACUUGAAUAUUUUUUGAAUUAUUAACGACCUCUAGAUUAAUGAAUUAAGCUACCAGGACCGAACUGAGUUUUUGGAGUUGGUACUUUUUGCAUUCGAGUUAUCAAUGAUAACCGAGUGUUAGGUUAAAAACAAAGAAAGCUAUUUGUGAAGAUUUUUCGAGUUUUUACAUUUGCUUGUUAAUGAAAACUAGCCCCGGUACCAGAGUCAAGUGUUAUAAGAAGAGGUUCGUUUACGUUCUUUGAAUAUAGGCCCUCGGUAUACUUUUCUACAGCCAAAUUGUAUUAAAUCCUUAUCGGUUACACCCUGUAUACUUUUCUGUCACCUCGAGCGUGUUAAGUGACCCGAGUUAUAAUUUAUAAUGGUUGUACCCAAAGGUGAAAUAUCUGUGUGAGUAAUACUAAAUCAUGACUGAUGAUGAAAGAGUUUGUAUGAAGCAUAGGAUAAAGUCACGCCAAACGCGUCAUAAUUUUAUUGAAGACCGGAAAACGAGUGACCAGAGAUGAUCUUUGCGGUGAAUCGCGACGAAGGCGUGGUUAAGGAAAAUUUUAUACUUAUUUUAAAGUUAAUCAGUGUUGCUUUAAUAUUGCAAAGUUGUUGAUCUACAAUGUUGUCGAAAAUUGUAAUACUCCUUUCCAUUUUUACUCUUUGGAGUGCGAAUUGUCAAAAUUUAGAAGAAGAUGAUACAAUUUCUUUUCCAGAUGAGAUGCAAUCACAAAUGAACUUCAACAAUCCAGAAGUUGCGCCAAGAAAUUUAUUCCAGUUUGCUGGAACAGCUUGUGCUAAAAAUGAAGUUCUGGUCGAGGGAAAAUGUAGACGGAAAUUUGGACGAUUUUAGCAUGUGGAUACUUCUGUUUACGCUUAACACUGUACAAUUAGUUACCUAGGCCCAACUAUUUCCGAAUGCUUCUCCCAAAAGUACAGUUAUCGAUCAUACCUCGCAAUCCAGUUACCAAUUUAUGUAUCAGGAAUGGCUUAGAAACAUUACAAGGCAAAUAAAACCAAAUUUUGUAUUCAUCAUAACAUUCUUUACCAAAAUUAUUAUUGUAAUGACUUUGAUGGUGAAUUGAGCUUUUUUGACCGAUUACCUUUAAUUAAGUUUACAGAAUACAAUAAUAAAAAUUAGCUAUUUGAUAAUCUAACAUAAUUUUUAUCCGUAGUCUUCGGCUAAAUGCAAUUAAAUAAAAAGUUGGCGUUUAUUUGCUAACUAAGUUCCGUUUUGCUUUUGACGAUCGAUGUCGGGAUUUUCCAUCAGGACUAGUGUCAAUGGGAAAUCCUGAAAUCGAUAGCUAAAAAAACUGAAUAAAGUUUUAUUUAAUUGUAUAAAAUUUCAACCCUUCUCAUUUGACAUGCCCAAUGCAAUCGUACACAAUUGAUAACCAACAAGUGUCGCAUUUGCACUAAAACUAUCAUCCUUGGGAAUGUUAGCAACUGAAAUCCAAUGUUGGGCAAGCUUUCCAAGGAUAGUAAAAAGGUCACACAAAUAUAUAAAAUGGUGCGAUCUGUAGUUGAACAGUCUUCAUUUCAAAAUGCGCAAGUAUUUUGUUACGGUGAUCUACAUGAUUGCUUGUUUUACCAUGAUUCAAGUCGUGUCAAAUAGGCGAAGGACGAGAUCAUCAGUUAUAUUUCCGGGUCAAGCGUCCACAUAACUCCCAUGGAAUCCACAACCUUUGAGUUCGGAAAUAAUCAUAUUAUAAACGCUGGCCCAAAUUGUGGUAUCGUAUGGGAGAAGUUUAUGUGGAAGGGAUGUGUAGACGAAGGUUUAACUACAACAGAAGACGCACUAUGGUCACUUAAUCUAGUGAUAUCAGUGUAAUGAAAAAACAACCAAAUAUUUGACAAAGCUUCGUAGUUAGUUAUUUUAGGUAAAACUGAAUAUAGCUCAAACAAAAGUUUUGAUACAACGUAGAAACAGUAUACCAAGGCAUCUAAUUUGAGCCGGCAAUAUUUGUCAAAAUAACGUAUAGGCAUACUCAUACAAAACUAAAUAAGAAAAAAUUGUGUACAGAAGGUAUAGGUAGUGGGAGAAAAUUAGGUUUACUCCUUAAUAUAACAUUUUGAAAAUUAGCUCUUUUUCUUUUACAACCCACAACAAAAUUUAACAGGAAAAGC